AGAUUCCCACUAUCCCUACCUACUACCCAGUGAAACCACAGCCAAGGGACCAGGCUUGGUGGAAUCAGUGGGGAAAGAAGACCCUGUUGAGCCUGACUCUGGUCUGGCACAGGGAAGAGCCAUGAGAGGUGUAGAAUAAGUGGGAGGCC
rnacentral:rRNA from 1 species